rnacentral:rRNA from 1 species
UACGGAGGGUGCGAACGUUAAUCGGAAUCACUGGGCGUAAAGCGCGCGUAGGCGGUUUGUUAAGUGGGAUGUGAAAGCCCCGGGCUUAACCUGGGAAUUGCAUUUCAAACUGGCGAACUAGAGUGCGGUAGAGGGAGGUAGAAUUUCCUGUGUAGCGGUGAAAUGCGUAGAUAUAGGAAGGAAUACCAGUGGCGAAGGCGGCCUCCUGGAUCGACACUGACGCUAAGGCGCGAAAGCGUGGGGAGCGAACAGG